AUAACCAUUUUACAAAAUAAAAUAAAUCUGUUCUUAUCAGUUUAAUAUCUGAUAUGUCCCUUAUCUGGGGACAAUAUAUUACAUGGAUUUUUCCAUUAUUCAGAAUUCUGAUUGUUAGCCGUCAUAAUUCGCUUGUAUGAAAUGUGGAGCCCCAAGCUACAGGCUUCUGUAGGGCUAAACCUGCC